rnacentral:rRNA from 1 species
CUAAGAAUAUUCCGCAAUGGACGGAAGUCUGACGGAGCGACGCCGCGUGGAUGACGAAGGCCGAAAGGUUGUAAAGUUCUUUUGCUGGGGAAGAAUAACCGCAGGAGGGAAUGCCUGUGGGAUGACAAGAACCGGCGAAUAAGCCCCGGCCAACUACGUGCCAGCAGCCGCGGUAACACGUAGGGGGCGAGCGUUGUUCGGAAUUACUGGGCGUAAAGGGCAUGUAGGCGGCUUGGAAAGCCUGGCGUGAAAGUCUGCAGCUUAACUGCAGGGGUGCGCUGGGAACUGCUGAGCUUGAGUGACGGAGAGGGAGCUGGAAUUCCUGGUGUAGGGGUGAAAUCUGUAGAUAUCAGGAAGAACACCGAUGGCGAAGGCAAGCUCCUGGCCGAUGACUGACGCUGAGGUGCGAAAGUGUGGGGAUCAAACAGGAUUAGAUACCCUGGUAGUCCACACAGUCAACGAUGUGCACUAGGUGCUGGGGCGGUAGCUUCGGUGCCGGAGCGAACGUGGUAAGUGCACCGCCUGGGGAGUAUGCUCGCAAGGGUGGAACUCAAAGGAAUUGACGGGGGUCAUA